rnacentral:lncRNA from 1 species
AGCACGGCCGGGGGAGCGCGAGGGGGAGCGGGACCGAGCCGCGAGAGAUCUCUGUGGGAUGUGAGGAUGCACCCUGCUCACGAGGAGAAGCAGCUGCCUGUGCCCUAAGGAUACCAAUAGCCCUGACCAGUCUCUACCCUCUGCUCAGGGGCUCUACUCUUGCAAGAGCUGUGUUGUAGCAGUACCAGCCUCCAACUCAGCAACAGCCACACCCCUGCUUCCCAUCUGGGCUUUGGACCACACUUUUACUCCACACUUGUCUGGUGAACACCAGGCUGUGUCUGACCCCGGAUAUCAUCACCAGGUCUGAUCCUCACUUUGGCCUUGGACCUGCCUCAUCACCAUGGGCAUGCCUGGUGACAAUCAGGCCAUGCCUGACCCAGACUAACAUCACUGGACCUGCCCCUGAGACACAUUUAUGCAUUGACCUCAGAGCUGCCUCACUACCAGGGACUUGCAUGGACUGGACACUUGGUUUCCCUGAGUGCUCUCCCAGUGCCUGCCCUACUGAUAUUACUUAGAGUGUGUGGGACAUGGACUUCCCUGUCCCUCCACUGGGGAGCAGCCAGCUCUUGCUGCUUUUUGAUACUGAGAGCAUGGAU